CUUUUUGUAAGUAUUUAAAGUCGGGCCUGCCCACUGAAUUAUGAAGGGCCGCGGUAUUUUGACCGUGCAAAGGUAGCAUAAUCAUUAGUCUUUUAAUUGGAGGCUGGAAUGAAUGGUUUGAUGAAAUAAUAACUGUCUCUUUAUUAUUAAUUUGAAUUUUACUUUUGAGUUAAAAGGCUCAAAUGUUAUUAAGGGACGAGAAGACCCUAUAGAUCUUGAUGAUGAGUUUAUUUAAUUUGUUUUGGUUGWGUAAAGUAUUUUAUAAAUGUUGAUCAYUUUAUYGGGGUGAUAUGAGAAUAUAAUAACUUCUUAAUAAUUGACUUUGAUUGAUGAGUGUAUAAUCCUGUAUUAUGGAAMUAAGAUUAAGAUACCUUAGGGAUAACAGCGUAAUUUUGUUGGAGAGUUCUUAUCGAUAAUAAAGAUUGCGACCUCGAUGUUGGAUUAARAAUAUAUGUUGGUGUAGUCGCUAAUAAUAUUGGUCUGUUC
rnacentral:rRNA from 1 species